rnacentral:tRNA from 1 species
GGGGCCGUAGCUCAGCUGGGAGAGCGUCGCGUUCGCAAUGCGAAGGUCAGGGGUUCGACUCCCCUCGGCUCCACCA